AUAGAUGUAGUCGAAUGGUUAAACUUCUCUUUGCUAAGGAGAAAAUGUGGGUUUAAUUCCCGCUAUAUAUC
rfam:Populus trichocarpa scaffold_16_contig_65, whole genome shotgun sequence.